GUAAGGAUAGUGUGUAGGAGAGAAUGCGGACGUAAGGAUAGUGUGUAGGAGAGAAUGCGGACGUAAGGAUAGUGUGUAGGAGAGAAUGGGGAUGUAAGGAUAGUGUGUAGGAGAGAAUGUGAUGUUAGGAUAGUGUGUAGGAGAGAAUGCGAUGUAAGGAUAGUGUGUAGGAGAGAAUGCGGAUGUAAGGAUAGUGUGUAUGAGAGAAUGGGGACGUAAGGAUAGUCUGUAUGAGAGAAUGGGGACGUAAGGAUAGUCUGUAUGAGAGAAUGGGGACGUAAGGAUAGUGUGUAUGAGAGAAUGGGGAUGUAAGGAUAGUGUGUAGGAGAGAAUGGGGACGUAAGGAUAGUCUGUUUGAGUCAGCACUGAGCUCUUAAUUUACCUUUUUUCCAAACUCCAAAGGCACCGUGUUGUCAUCCUCACCGUGUAAGAUGAGGAGGGGAGAAGAUAGGAAUUUAACACUGGGGACAAGUAGAAGAAAAGCAUUCAGUUCAGGAAUUAUAUGUUGGGAUUUCUCUUCUUCUAAGUUAAAGCUUUAGCAAAAAUGAGAUUUGUCUCAAAAUACAAGAUCUCUCUUCCCUUCCCUCCUAGGAAUGACAACUUCAACAAAUAUAAUUUCAUAUAGUAACUUUUUUUCCUUCCGGGCAAGAUUAUCUCUCUUCUGUUUACUCAUACAAUUUAAUUAGGUAUUUAAUUAAUUUCUAUGUGAUUUUUUUAAAUAGGAAGGAAAGUACUAAAAGCACUGCAUUUGUACAGUUAAAAGAACCUCAUCUUUUUCCUUAUUCUACCUUAUUUCAUAAUAUCUGGGAUAUUUUAACUAAAAGACUAAAUAAAAGAAACAAAACAACUCAAAACUCAAAAAUACAAGAACUAGCACAGGACUGAAGAGAACUCUUUGUAGCAAUGUAUUUACUUUCCUCAUAAAUGUGCAGAGGGACUCACGAUUAACAGGUUUUAUCAGCUUCCUGGUCAACCUCCUAGUCUGGUAAUUCAGAAAGGCUACAGCACGAAGAAGACUUGUUCCUCAUUCUAAUAACUUUCUCAGACAAUACUUCCCAAAUUCUGGUACCCAUCCACCGCAUCACAAUGACUCACUGUUACUCCUAAGAAGGUUGGAUCCCUCAGGUGUGUCGACAUUAAGUACUGAUAACAGCCACCUACUGGAGGCACUCUUAAAGUCUCCAGCUGCGAGAGGCCAACUUGCCAAAUUCUGGUCUUUGGACUUGCUGUUGGGUCAAUGGGCUGAAUGGGGGGUGAGUUUUGGUUACAUGGGGAAUAAGGCCUAGAAGUCAGGGAUCCCCCUGACUUAAAGGAUCCUUUAAAGGUCCUAUAAUCCUAAAUCUACAACUCCCUUUAUGACUUUGGAGAAAGUAUUGAAUUAGUGAAGUCCUCAAAUCAGACAGUAGGAAAAUAUCAAACACUAAAAAUUUGUGAACACAUUACCUCAAAGUUUAGUGCCCGUCUAAGAAUUCUCAUCUACCCAUUCAGUAAGUCACAUGAUAGUUGCCCUCCAGAAUCCCAUAGAUAGAGUAAUAACGGACAUCUCUCCAUCGUUGGCUUACUUUUCAUCGUUAGGGAAGACUAUUUUGUCUUUUCUCAGUGCAUCCAUAAGCGCGCGUAAAAAUCCUGGAAGUUUCCGAUAAAUCUAUUUUUUAAGAAGAAAAAAAAUUAAACAUGGCCUAUAUCUGUGUCAUUUGUUAUGGCUUCCUACACGAACUAUACUAAUGGAGAGAGUAGCAACUUUCUACAUAUAAUAAACUUCUUUAAAAAACAAACCUCAUGAUUUUAAAGUAACUCGUCAUUGUAGGGAAAAUGGAAAACACAAAAAGGAAGAAGAGGUGAUAUAUAUAUAUAUAUAUGUAUAUAUAUAUACACACACACACACACACACAGUGGAAUAUUACUCAGCCGUAUCCAUAUAUAUAUACCACCUCUUCAUUAUCCAUUCAUCAGCUGAUGGACAUUUGGCUUCUUUCCAUAGUUUAGGAAUCAGAAUUUUUGACCAAUCAGAAUAUUCUCUUCAGUAACUAGACAGGUUAAUUAUGUUCACUGUAGAAGCAAUUUUUAGAUUAUGCAUAUCACUGCUCCUUUACAAGCAUGAAGAAAAAGAGUUAGUAGUGCUAUUUGUAUUUUAAAGAAAAAUAGGAAGCAAAAACAACAAAAUGUUAACAGUGAUUAUCUGUGGAUGGUGGGGAUUAUGUGUGAUUUGUUUCUUCUUUCUUCCUUUUUGCACCACCUUGGCCUUUGAGACUCCACAGAACCUGGCUCUUGCCCAUCUGUCCUCUCACUAAGCCCACUCCCAUCCACCCUCGGGCCCUGCUGCCUUCUGCUCUGGACAAAUCAGGCUCAAACUUACCUCAGGGCCUUUGCCUUUCCUUUCCCCCAGCUCAAGACCUCCAGAUUUUCCCAUGACAGCCUCUUAUCAUGCAAGUCUCAGCUCAGAUGAUAGUCCUUAGAAAAGCUUUCUGUACCCGCCCCCUGCCGGUCACUCCCUGUCACAGCACUUCUCACUCCUGAAAACCAGCUUAUUGCGUACUUGUCUUCUGCCUGUCUUCCCGGACUCUUCAGAGUUAUGGCACUCCACUGAUAAUAAAAAGAGUUAAUGGCCAUUCAGUGCUCACUUUGUCCCAGGCACUAUUACAGAUGUUUUUCAUAUUCUAAUUUAUAUAGUUAUCACAAUCAUCUGGAAUAGAUUAUUAUUACCCCCAUUUUACAGAUGAGGCCAUUAGAGCGUUAAAAGCAAUUAAUCCAAGGUUAUACAGCUGUUAAGUGACAGCCUUGGAAACCAAACCCAGGAAGUCUGACACCAAAGUUAUGGUUUUUGAAAACAGCGUGAUACAACAAAACCUCUCUACUUCUAAAUCAUAAAAGUACCUAUUAAACUGAGAGUUCCUGACCUUUUAAAUUAAAUUCCAAACUUAAAAAUAUGGGAAGAUUCCCCACUUCUAAUAAUAGAAGAGUCAUUACAAACCAAACCUUUUGCCCAAGACAACUAGAAAAGGUGGGGGAAAAAUAUUUUAAAAACCUUUCCGUGAAGGUGUCAGAGAGCUGCCAAGGCAUCUUGAGUGGUCUAGAUCCCAGAGAGAAGGGAAUCCCAGAGAGGUGAAACUGACAUUUGACACCACUCUUCUCCUUGAGACACGGCUGGCAAGUCAGGAGAAAGCAAACAGCAGAGGCAAAAGAACACAAAUAGAAACAGAUGGCACAAAUAGAAAAGAACAUAGUAAGACCCUCAGCUCUUUGGGCAACUAAUCUUUGAUAAAGCAGGAAAAAACUUCCAGUGGAAAAAAGA